rnacentral:rRNA from 1 species
AUUUUUAUUUUCGAACGCUGGCGGCGUGCUUACACAUGCAAGUCGAACGAUGAUGCCCAGCUUGCUGGGUGGAUUAGUGGCGAACGGGUGAGUAACACGUGAGUAACCUGCCCCUGACUCUGGGAUAAGCGUUGGAAACGACGUCUAAUACUGGAUAUGAUCACUGGCCGCAUGGUCUGGUGGUGGAAAGAUUUUUUGGUUGGGGAUGGACUCGCGGCCUAUCAGCUUGUUGGUGAGGUAAUGGCUCACCAAGGCGACGACGGGUAGCCGGCCUGAGAGGGUGACCGGCCACACUGGGACUGAGACACGGCCCAGACUCCUACGGGAGGCAGCAGUGGGGAAUAUUGCACAAUGGGCGAAAGCCUGAUGCAGCAACGCCGCGUGAGGGAUGACGGCCUUCGGGUUGUAAACCUCUUUUAGUAGGGAAGAAGCGAAAGUGACGGUACCUGCAGAAAAAGCACCGGCUAACUACGUGCCAGCAGCCGCGGUAAUACGUAGGGUGCAAGCGUUGUCCGGAAUUAUUGGGCGUAAAGAGCUCGUAGGCGGUUUGUCGCGUCUGCUGUGAAAUCCCGAGGCUCAACCUCGGGCUUGCAGUGGGUACGGGCAGACUAGAGUGCGGUAGGGGAGAUUGGAAUUCCUGGUGUAGCGGUGGAAUGCGCAGAUAUCAGGAGGAACACCGAUGGCGAAGGCAGAUCUCUGGGCCGUAACUGACGCUGAGGAGCGAAAGCAUGGGGAGCGAACAGGAUUAGAUACCCUGGUAGUCCAUGCCGUAAACGUUGGGCGCUAGAUGUAGGGACCUUUCCACGGUUUCUGUGUCGUAGCUAACGCAUUAAGCGCCCCGCCUGGGGAGUACGGCCGCAAGGCUAAAACUCAAAGGAAUUGACGGGGGCCCGCACAAGCGGCGGAGCAUGCGGAUUAAUUCGAUGCAACGCGAAGAACCUUACCAAGGCUUGACAUACACCGGAAACGGCCAGAGAUGGUCGCCCCCUUGUGGUCGGUGUACAGGUGGUGCAUGGUUGUCGUCAGCUCGUGUCGUGAGAUGUUGGGUUAAGUCCCGCAACGAGCGCAACCCUCGUUCUAUGUUGCCAGCGGGUUAUGCCGGGGACUCAUAGGAGACUGCCGGGGUCAACUCGGAGGAAGGUGGGGAUGACGUCAAAUCAUCAUGCCCCUUAUGUCUUGGGCUUCACGCAUGCUACAAUGGCCGGUACAAAGGGCUGCGAUACCGUAAGGUGGAGCGAAUCCCAAAAAGCCGGUCUCAGUUCGGAUUGAGGUCUGCAACUCGACCUCAUGAAGUCGGAGUCGCUAGUAAUCGCAGAUCAGCAACGCUGCGGUGAAUACGUUCCCGGGCCUUGUACACACCGCCCGUCAAGUCAUGAAAGUCGGUAACACCCGAAGCCGGUGGCCUAACCCUUGUGGAAGCAGCCGUCGAAGGUGGAUCGUUAUUAGACUGG